GAUGAACGCUCGCGGCAGGCCUAAUACAUGCAAGUCGAACGAGAUUAAGAGGCUUGCUUCUUAUGAAAGUGGCGCACGGGUGCGUAACGCGUAUGCAACCUACCUUAAUCAGGGGGAUAGCCCGAAGAAAUUCGGAUUAAGACCGCAUAAAAACACAGGAUAGCAUUAUCCAAUGUUCAAAUAUUUAUAGGAUUAAGAUGGGCAUGCGUGUCAUUAGCUAGUUGGCGGGGUAACGGCCCACCAAGGCGACGAUGACUAGGGGAUCUGAGAGGAUGACCCCCCACACUGGUACUGAGACACGGACCAGACUCCUACGGGAGGCAGCAGUAAGGAAUAUUGGUCAAUGGAGGGAACUCUGAACCAGCCAUGCCGCGUGCAGGAAGACAGCCCUCUGGGUCGUAAACUGCUUUUAGUCGGGAAUAAACCUUUCUACGUGUAGGAAGCUGAAUGUACCGAAGGAAUAAGGAUCGGCUAACUCCGUG
rnacentral:rRNA from 1 species